GGAAGGGGUGUAUNUAUUAGAUAAAAAACCAAUGCCCUUCGGGGCUCCUUGGUGAUUCAUAAUAACUUAACGAAUCGCAUGGCCUUGCGCCGGCGAUGGUUCAUUCAAAUUUCUGCCCUAUCAACUUUCGAUGGUAGGAUAGUGGCCUACCAUGGUGGCAACGGGUAACGGGGAAUUAGGGUUCGAUUCCGGAGAGGGAGCCUGAGAAACGGCUACCACAUCCAAGGAAGGCAGCAGGCGCGCAAAUUACCCAAUCCCGAUCCGGGGAGGUAGUGACAAUAAAUACUGAUAUAGGGCUCUUUUGGGUCUUAUAAUUGGAAUGAGUACAAUCUAAAUCCCUUAACGAGGAACAAUUGGAGGGCAAGUCUGGUGCCAGCAGCCGCGGUAAUUCCAGCUCCAAUAGCGUAUAUUAAAGUUGUUGCAGUUAAAAAGCUCGUAGUUGAACCUUGGGCCCGUCCUGCCGGUCCGCCUCACCGCGAGUACGUGGUCCGGAUGGGCCUUUCUUUCUGGGGAAUCCCAUGGCCUUCACUGGCUGUGGCGGGGAACCAGGACUUUUAC
rnacentral:rRNA from 1 species